CACCACUAGACAAAGGGGCUGGAAGGAG
rnacentral:piRNA from 1 species